AACCAUCGACCAGCCCCCAAUCGGGAAAGUUUUAGAUCAGAACCGUCAGAGUAACUCCUAGCAUGGUUCUGUACAGAGCAGGAGAGGAGGGGCCUCGCAUGGCGAUGAGAGCACUGCUCUGGUAGCCAAGGAUGACUUGCCUGUGGCCUCCAUCAGUCGCAGAGGACGCUGUUCUUCUGCUUGUGGUUGUCGAUCGCAGGCAGUCUCCUUGGCUAGCCCGAGCGGCUCUCAUCCACCAUGCCAGGCUCGUCUCUUCUAUUUCUUCAACCCGACUCGUUCACGCCGCCAGGAACGAAGGGAAACGGGGAACGAACACGCGAAGGGUGCAGAUGACAGGACGACGAUGGUCAGAGACCAAUUCAUGAGUUUGACGGCACUUAUUUGCCCCUCCUCCCCCUGUUCAUUUAUUUCUUGCUGCUUCAGAGCACAGAGUGAAGCUAGAGAGAGGUGGCUAUGCAAUGGAAUACUUCCUUUAGUUAGAGCUUUCUUACGUACGAUCCUCCGGCAGAUGCACCAAAUUUAACUGACAGUAUCAACGAUAAAGAUGAUGCAACAUUGUAUCCACUAAUAACAGAUCUAGAAUUGUGGCA